rnacentral:rRNA from 1 species
AUACGUAGGUGGCGAGCGUUGUCCGGAUUUACUGGGCGUAAAGGAUGCGUAGGCGGAUUAUUAAGUCAGAUGUGAAAUUCCCGGGCUUAACCUGGGAGCUGCAUUUGAAACUGGUAGUCUGGAGUGCAGGAGAGGUAAGUGGAAUUCCUAGUGUAGCGGUGAAAUGCGUAGAGAUUAGGAAGAACACCAGUGGCGAAGGCGACUUACUGGACUGUAACUGACGCUGAGGCAUGAAAGCGUGGGGAGCAAACAGGAUUAGAUACCCUGGUAGUCCACGCUGUAAACGAUGAAUACUAGGUGUGGGAGGUAUCGACUCCUUCUGUGCCGCAGUUAACACAAUAAGUAUUCCGCCUGGGGAGUACGGUCGCAAGAUUAA